rnacentral:rRNA from 1 species
GGAAUAUUGGUCAAUGGGCGAGAGCCUGAACCAGCCAUGCCGCGUGCAGGAAGACGGCCUUCUGGGUUGUAAACUGCUUUUCUACGGGAAGAAAAAGCUUAUGCGUAAGCAAUUGACGGUACUGUAGGAAUAAGCACCGGCUAACUCCGUGCCAGCAGCCGCGGUAAUACGGAGGGUGCGAGCGUUGUCCGGAUUUAUUGGGUUUAAAGGGUGCGUAGGCGGCUUAUUAAGUCAGUGGUGAAAUCUUUCGGCUUAACCGAGAAACUGCCAUUGAAACUGAUGAGCUUGAGUUUGAGUGAGGUAGGCGGAAUUUAUGGUGUAGCGGUGAAAUGCAUAGAUACCAUAAAGAACACCGAUAGCGUAGGCAGCUUACUGGCUCGCAACUGACGCUGAGGCACGAAAGCAUGGGUAUCGAACAGGAUUAGAUACCCUGGUAGUCCAUGCUGUAAACGAUGAUUACUCGCUGUUGGUCUUUAGGGAUCAGUGGCCAAGCGAAAGCGUUAAGUAAUCCACCUGGGGAGUACGUCCGCAAGGAUGAAACUCAAAGGAAUUGACAAUCACUAG